GAGACCUCAGGUCAGGCGGGGCUACCCGCUGAGUUUAAGCAUAUCAAUAAGCGGAAAAAAAG
rnacentral:rRNA from 1 species